rnacentral:rRNA from 1 species
GGUUACUGUGGGCGAGGAGGCGAGGUAAUGCAGAGGGCCCGAGUGGUGUUUGGAGUUACGGGGCGUGAAGGGUUGUUAUGUGUGCGGUUAAGGAGGGUGUGUAAUCUCGGAGGUGAACUGCGAAAUGGCAUUGGAGACUACCUUGCUUGAGGGUUGGAGGGGGGACUGGAAUGCGUGGUGUAGCAGUGAACUGCGUAGAUAUCAAGUGGAACACCAGUGGCGAAGGCGAGUCCCUGGACAACUCCUGACACUGAGGCACGAAAGCUAGGGGAGCAAACAGGAUUAGAUACCCCUGUAGUC